GAUACGUAAUCUCCGCAGAGAGUCUUGGACACCAAUCAAAUCAUCGCGCCUCUGUGAAAAACAUUUUGAAGAAUCACGGUUUGAGACUGGUCGAGCAGAUAAUUGGCGAAAAUUAAAACCAAACGCCAUACCAACACUUUUCGAUAUACCUGAUCCACCUGCAAUGAAUAAAAA